UUUUGUUACGUUUACUUGACUUCCUUACUACAAGAGUAUGUUGGUUGAAAGUAAUGACGAAUUAUAUCAGGAUAUAAAUCAUCAAUAUUAUGAAUUGUUGUCAUCUCAUGCUCAUUUCAUAUUUCUUCUAUAUGCUUCAAGUUUUGGGCUUGUGAAUCAUUUUACAAGUUCCCACGGGAGAGCCUGGUAGCAAAUAUUGUAUUUUCUUCAUGUCGCUUCAAUAUAGUAUUUGAACAUCUUCUAUUCAUUGUUUACAGGAAAAAAACAACAAAAUUCACACUCUGGGAAGAUUACAUUGAUCUUUAUGUGAAUAAACUUUUGAAACAACUGAAUGAAUACCCAGUUAUUCUUGCUAGAAAAAUUGGUAGAUCAUCAUCAGGAUCAUCGAACAAAUUCAAUGGGCUGUCGAACAAAUUUAGUACAACAAUCUAUUUCAAUCCUCCUUACCCACAAGCUGUUGAGUUGAAGUCAUGGGCCAAAACAAUUGAACCAAUGCUUAAUGCAUACAAGAUAAAGAGUACAUCUUCCACAGGCUCUGUCAUGGUGGUUCCUUUUGAGGAUGAAAUCAUAGCUAUUUCCAAUAUCCAAGCGCAACCUCAAGGACAAGUAUUUUUUGUCGAAGCUGAACUUUGUCUGCCAAAUGAGAACCAACAAUUUUGUGUGUUAGCUUGUUCUGACUGUAAGCAAUUGUUCACGAGAUCUUUCUCUCGGAGGACAAUUUAUUGUACAAACUGUCAACGAUCCACUCAUCUAAUUCCAAGAUGUCAAUUUGAAGUCACUGUUAGAGACAAUAGUGGUUUUGCAACAGCCAUUAUUUCUGACAAACCUGCCGAGAAAAUGUUAUGCCUCAGCUCAGAAGAAAUUUAUGACAUCUACCAUGUCAAGGUACAUAUUUCAUAUUACUAUUAGAUAUGAAAAUUUGUCUAUUUAGAGAACUGUUGAAAGCUAACAUUCUGUUUUUGCUUUAUUUAGCUUCAUUUCUCUUUUAAUAUUCUCCUAUACUUUCUUGUGGUUCAGUUAGACGCUUAGUGCCUACUUACUAACCAGCACCUUAAUAUGGACGGAGUAAGAGCUUACAUUCUUUCACUUCUCAUAACACAAGCAACUACUGGAUGAAAUAUGUUGGACUUCUUUUAUGAAGAACAUAAGCUGCACUUACACACGUGCGAAUAAUUCAAUCAAAAGACAAUAGCUUAAGUUUGACAACGUAACAUACUUGGUCUAAUUAACUUUAAGACAUUUCAGGAAUUAAAUGUCUCAUUUCAUCCCAACUCCUCUCCUUUUUUUGGUAGGUAUCUAUCCAACUCCUGUGUUUCUACUCUAUGUUCUUUACUUUUAUGCGUUUUAGAGAAUACAUGCAAGCAACAUCCUUUCCUAACUUAAUCUAAAUGCUAAACCUGUCAGCCUACUCCAAAAAUAUUGGCUCACUGCAGAAUAAUGCCCUGCAAUAUCCAAUCUUCAGCACCACCCCUUCCACUAAAGCCACAUCUUCGAAACGUUAAUUAACCUAUUUCUGCUAUUAUGUUCUGAUAAAAUUAUGCUCAAGGCCACUUCAUCAAUUUCUUUAUUUUGUCCAUGGAAAUUGACAUCUGAUAUUGACAGAAGGUUAAGAGUCUCCAAAUCUUCAUUCUUCACAUUCUCCUAAAGUGGCAAAAUGACCCUCUUUUGAUGCGUAAUUAACCAAUUUUGUCCUUCCAGAAACAAAUUUUACCUCUUGCGGAUGUGCAGAAACAGUUGAGUGGAAAGAUAUUCAAAAUUCAAAUGAAAAAAUUAUUUACAAAAUAUCAUGAUACAGUGCAAAAGUUAUCCAUUUUAUCUUACAUGAACAAAGAAAAUGAGAUCCACCAAGAGUCCCCACCAAGCAUGAUGGAUGUUGCCAAGGGGAGCAAACGCAAAAUUGAACGCCUUGGCUUGGAGGGAAAAGAAGAUCAAGAGACAAAAGACAAUGCUUCCUACUACAAGCGGGGCUUGGAAAUAAGGACUCCUCCUUUGAAAAAGUAAUUGUAAGUUGAAGCUGAAGCCACAUUUUGCUGCUGUUUUGGGAUGCAUUUGAAGGCAUUUUGCUGCUUUAUUGGAUGCAGUUAAAGCCAUAGUUAUGUUGCUGCUUUCUGCCUACGGUUAAAGCUAAUCUUUUGCUGCUGUGAUAUUAGAUGUCAGUACUUUUGUUGCACUACAAAGAAGAACAAGUACUUUUGUUGCACUACAAAGAAGAACAAUUACAGUAUGGACAAAGAAUCACCUUUUGUGAAUAUAGAUACUCUCAUGGAUGUAAAUAUUAUGCCACUUUCGAAG